GGAGGAGUCGCCUAAUUGGCUGGGCAGAAGAUUGCUAAUCUUCCGCGGUUUAAAAAGCCGCUUGUGGGUUCGAGUCCCACCUCCUCCGCCA
rnacentral:tRNA from 1 species